rnacentral:rRNA from 1 species
UGGGGAAUAUUGCGCAAUGAGGGACGAAGGACGUGACGGUACCUCAUGAAUAAGCCACGGCUAACUACGUGCCAGCAGCCGCGGUAAUACGUAGGUGGCAAGCGUUAUCCGGAUUUACUGGGUGUAAAGGGCGCGUAGGCGGGGAUGCAAGUCAGAUGUGAAAUCUAUGGGCUUAACUCAUAAACUGCAUUUGAAACUGUAUCUCUUGAGUGCUGGAGAGGUAGAUGGAAUUCCUGUGUAGCGGUGAAAUGCGUAGAUAUAAGGAAGAACACCAGUGGCGAAAGGCGAUCUACUGGACAGUAACUGACGCUGAGGCGCGAAAGCGUGGG